GGCCCAUGCUUUGUAUUGUACUAACGGGAUAAAAAUAACGAAUAUUAUGUUUUUAACAAUAAUAAAAAUGGUGUGGACUUUAACGGUGCCUUUUUUGUGGACUUUAGCGGAACUUGCUAUUGUGGACUUUAACGGCGUUUUCUUGUGGACUUUAGCGGAGGUCAUUUUGUGGACUUUAGCGAAAAGUUUGUGGACUUUAGCGGCGUUG
rnacentral:lncRNA from 1 species